rnacentral:rRNA from 1 species
CCUGCUAAAUAGCCAGGCUGGCAUUAGCUGGUCGCCGGCUGCUUAGAGGGACUGUCGGUGUCUAACUGACGGAAGUUUGAGGCAAUAACAGGUCUGUGAUGCCCUUAGAUGUUCUGGGCCGCGCGCGCGCUGCACUGACAGAGCCAGCGAGUUUAUUUACCGUGGCCGGGGGGUCUGGGUAAUCUUGUGAAACUCU